rnacentral:tRNA from 1 species
GCAGUCGUGGCCUAGUUGUUAGGGCGAUGAACUGGAAAUCCAUCGGGGUCUCCCUGUGCAGCUUUGAAUCCUGCUGACUACG